rnacentral:rRNA from 1 species
AGAGUUUGAUCAUGGCUCAGGACGAACGCUGGCGGCGUGCUUAACACAUGCAAGUCGAACGGUAAGGCCCUUCGGGGUACACGAGUGGCGAACGGGUGAGUAACACGUGGGUAAUCUGCCCUGCACUUCGGGAUAAGCCUGGGAAACUGGGUCUAAUACCGGAUAUGAGCUCUGGCCGCAUGGUCUGGGGUUGGAAAGUUUUUCGGUGCAGGAUGAGCCCGCGGCCUAUCAGCUUGUUGGUGGGGUAAUGGCCUACCAAGGCGACGACGGGUAGCCGGCCUGAGAGGGUGAUCGGCCACACUGGGACUGAGACACGGCCCAGACUCCUACGGGAGGCAGCAGUGGGGAAUAUUGCACAAUGGGCGGAAGCCUGAUGCAGCGACGCCGCGUGGGGGAUGACGGUCUUCGGAUUGUAAACCCCUUUCAGUAGGGACGAAGCGCAAGUGACGGUACCUGCAGAAGAAGCACCGGCCAACUACGUGCCAGCAGCCGCGGUAAUACGUAGGGUGCGAGCGUUGUCCGGAAUUACUGGGCGUAAAGAGCUCGUAGGCGGUUUGUCACGUCGUCUGUGAAAUCCUCCAGCUUAACUGGGGGCGUGCAGGCGAUACGGGCAGACUUGAGUACUACAGGGGAGACUGGAAUUCCUGGUGUAGCGGUGAAAUGCGCAGAUAUCAGGAGGAACACCGGUGGCGAAGGCGGGUCUCUGGGUAGUAACUGACGCUGAGGAGCGAAAGCAUGGGUAGCGAACAGGAUUAGAUACCCUGGUAGUCCAUGCCGUAAACGGUGGGCGCUAGGUGUGGGGUCCUUCCACGGAUUCCGUGCCGUAGCUAACGCAUUAAGCGCCCCGCCUGGGGAGUACGGCCGCAAGGCUAAAACUCAAAUGAAUUGACGG